rnacentral:lncRNA from 1 species
AAAUAUUUACAGUGGUCAACAUCCCGUCCCACAAAAAAAUGACGGGACAUGUGAAGAAGCAGGAACAGAUGACCUAAAAUCAGAAAAAAUUAAGUCAGUAAAUAGUUAUAGAUCAACAAAUGGCAGAGAUGAUGGACUUAGUAAACAAGAACUUUAACAUAGCAGGAGAAGUUGAAGUCAGACCACAAUCUACUGUGGAGCUAAUGUUUGCUGAUCAAAGGAGGACAGGCUAUCUUUCUUAUUUACCACUAUCCAAUAGUAGAUAGUCAGCAA